CUCUACCUGCCACCCAUCACAGAACUCAGAGUUUCACCACUUCCUUCUCCAUUUUCUUUAGCUGUCAGCAUAUAGUUAAUGGGCAACAACAAAGCUCUCCAUCCAGUUCUGGGAAAUAAUAAUCAUGGUUAAUAGUUAUUGAGAACUGAUGAUUUCGUUUCUUCUUCAUACCAACGCUUGGGGUAGGCACCAUUUUAAAAGCGAUUGGAGACAGGUUAAACAACUUGCCCUCAAUCAACGGUUGGGAAGUGAAAGAACCAAGCUUCAAAUCCAGGUCUGUCUGGGUCUUGAGCCAAGCUCGAAGUCUGUGUCACAUUGCCCAGGACUCGGCUGCCAAUUCUCCCCACCUCCUCGUCCCUCACUGCUGCAUCAGCAAAUCCAGGGCUCAUGGCAGGAAGAGCAGAGAAGAGCAAAGACCCAUUUUUGACUAGUAACGUGGAACGCGAAGGUAGAAAUAACCGAAGGCAUCAGAGGAGAGAGAAGUGGAUGAAAACUCCUCGAAGUCACAUCUAUCCAUCCUUGCCUGGCACAGAGGAGAUGCUUCAUUUGGAUGUGUUGCUGGAGGGGAGAGGUGCAAGCAGUAUGCCAUGGGCACUCAGAGAAAGAGACUAUCUUUAUUCCUGUAAGCUUCAACUAGGGAGCUUCAAUGUUGCGCAAAUGACAGCAGAGAGAGUCAUCAGGUAUGGUCAUGUUAAGACUCUGCUUUCAAAUACCCUGGACCUGUAUGCUGAAAACAGGACUGCUGGAUUGUGUGCUUUCUGCUACAAAAACUAGUACCUGUGAUCUUGGAUGAGUGUUUUAGUUACACUCUAGAUUGCAAGGAACGGAACUCCUUUGGGGACCUGGUAAUAAGGAUUAUCAAAGAAUUUGUGUGACGUCCACAAUCCCGCCAGUGACCAGCGCAGCUGUAACCAGACCCCGCCAUGUGCUCGUGGACCCACAGCCUCAUAUUCGUUCACCUUGGCUCACUGGGAUUUUCUGUCCCCACCUAACUUCACUUCCUAAGGGCCUUUGCUUACCAUGGCCUCCAGUCCACCCCACGACAUCCUUCCUGAAGCCUGUGGGUCUCGCUAGGUCAGUCUAGAUUUCCAAAAUUCGUGCUCUGGAGACCUUCAAUGUGAUCGGUCAGGUUCAUCUUUUCACGUUAGCUCAUGUCCUCAGUCACUGGCCUGUCUUGAUCGGGUGUCUAUCUCCAGCUUAAUUAACUAUGAUCCGAGGUGGGGGCUGAGGGUCACAUGGAUGUGACUUGGUUGUCUGUGUAACAGGAGCCAAGGGUAGGGCAAUUCCCCUUGGAAAGAUGAGUGAGUGCGUGCUGAGGUACAGACUGAUAUCUCAAGGCUAGCAGACUUUCAAUUUGGAUUGCUCUUCAUGAGAAAAACUAGAAGCUCAGAGCUGCUUUCAUAGUCUGACGGAAUCCAGAUAGUGUUUACAGCAGUGCCCAAUUUCCAUUUCCAAUUUUCCAUUCCACAUCUUUGCUAAUAAGGACAAAUAAGAAUUUAGGCAAUUAAUUACAUAAUUGAGUCCCAAACUCUGCUAUCAUCUGGGGCAUCAAGCAUAAAACACACACUUUCAGUCAGAAAGCUUAUUUUUAUUUUAACCUGAAUCACCCGGAUCAUAGCAGGAUUUUGCUUGAAUGACCCAGACAGAGUGCAUCAAUUUUCUGCUUUACGUACUCUGCUUGUGGAGACCAGGCUGUUAGUGGUUGCUUCUGGAAUGAGAGAACAUAUUAAAAAAAGGUUGGAACCUGGAAAACUUUCUAGAAUAGUAUGAUACUCCUGUACGUAAAUUCUUUUCUUCUUGUUUUUUCAUUAUUCGGUCUACUAACAAUGGUAAAUGUGCUUUAAUUAGAAACUUUUCCUCCAAAGAUUUCUUUUUCUAUGAGAAAGCACAGAAUAUUUUCAAACAAUGUUAGUCCAUGCAGAUAUUUUAAUUUUUAAUGAUUUCAUUAGAAUGAUAAACUUUAAGAUGAUUGAUAAUAAUCUUUCUACAUCAGUCUAUAAACACUGUUCUUAUCAAUUUACUGAUAACUUCUCCACUUUUUCUUCCCAUGACACAUAUAAAACAUGUGUGUUCCUAUGUGCUGGUUGUGAUUCUGUAUGAAGCGUGAAAAGCUUGGGUGCUUAAGGCAGACCACCUGAGUUUGAACCCUGCCUCCAGCUGUGAGAUCUUGUUAUAGAUACUUAAUGUUGUAUCCCAUGAUUUCCUCAUCUGUAAAAUGGGUUUGGGAUAUUACUUACCUCAUUGGGUUCCUGUGAAAGCGCUGUGAACAGUAUCUGACUUCUGGCACGUGCCCAGGAGACAUCUGUUGUUACUUUCAUUCUCUCCCACUUGAGAAAGCACAUAUUGGAAUGCAAACGAUGUCAGUCAGUCUUUUAAGGAUAAUUAAUCUAAUUUAUAUUUUAUAUGAAUUUUAUAUUAUGCAUUUGUAUUUUCUAAUGAAAAGAAAAUAAUCUAUAACCUUCAGUUCAGAAUCCACUGGGUGUCCUAUUCAGAGAGCUGUUGCUCUUAGUAAUUUUCUUCUCUGUACUGAGGUGUAUAACUGACUUUGUAACAGAUAGCUAAAUGCCAUUUGAAAAACAUAGUUCACCCAUUCUGGCAAAACAAUAAUUGAACAAUUUAAUCUAGAAAAAACAUUUUGCUUUUGAAAAUUUUAAGCUGUUAAAACAUUUGAGUAAAUAAUUUACCUUUUGCCAGAAAUCAUAAUAAAAAUAAUAAAAAGCUAAUAAAACCCCCACAUUACAUAUAUGUGAUUAUUCUUUUGUAAGUGAAUCCAGUUGAAAUUUUGUAUUUCUUAAGUUGAAAUUUAAUGCUUUACAUAUUAGCUAAAAUAUGUUAUGCCUACGUAUUCUGGGGAAAUUAAUCUGAAAUUUGCAUAUUCAAGUUAUUUUAUGGGCUAACUCACAUGUAUAGAGAAGAUGGAAGGCAGCUAAGAUCCUUUUAUUUCAAAAUGUUUUUGAGUGUUGGUUAUGAGAAUUUUGAUUUCCUUCCUUUCCUGAGCCAAUUUUGAGAUGCAUCUCUCACCCUACAGAUGUCUACGUGCACUUGGAGAUUCUAGGAAGCCCAGUAGUGAGUGAACGCUUCCCCUUUACCUUUUUUCCACCAUUCUCACUUCCAUUAAACCAGCCUUUCUAAAGUAGAGUAGAAAAAUCCAAUAUAUUUUUAAAAAAUCCUUUGAAACACACACUACAUAAACCACAGCUGACUUUAUAAGCUAGUAAAAAUCUCAAUAUCAUUGAAAAAAAAUUCCAAUAUUACUUUGUAGCCCAUUUUCUCCUUCUGAACGUUGAUCUCCGUGUAAACAAAACACAACAAAACACCCUGCUUACUCUUAAACGGCUGCAGGAAAUGCCAGAGAGUUUAUGGAAAGAUCAGAUGACAGAAGGAAUGGCUUUGGAGACAGAGAGAAGCUCAACCCUUGCAGGUGACUGAAGUCAGGAGCCUAAUUCAUCAGUGACAAGAAUUGUUGAGUCAAUGGCUGAACGAGAAGGUUAUGAAAACCCUCACAGAAGAGAUGGCCUCACUCCUGCUCCUAGCUGAAACUAAUUUUGGAUGAACAAAAUUUAUGUGCUGAAUAAAUGCUUUACUUAUUUUUUUCCGGCUCGA
ensembl:lncRNA